AGUGAACGCUGGCGGUAUGCCUAAUACAUGCAAGUCGAACGGCCGGACAGUAAGAUUGUUCUUUUACCGUUGGCGAGUGGCGGGCGGGUAAGGCAUACGUCAGAUACUUCUUUUACUGGGAUGAUUACGGAGGAAAACGGAUACUAACACCUCAUAUUUCGAACGGCAUAAUUCUAAAGUGCUACAUAGUUUUGCUGUCACAUUUAGACGGUGUCGGAUUAGCUAGUUGGCUUGGUAAAGGCUCACCAAGGCAACGAUCCGUAGCUGAUCUGAGAGGAUGAUCAGCCACACUGGAACUGAGACACGGUCCAGACUCCUACGGGAGGCAGCAGUAGGGAAUCUUGCACAAUGGGCGAAAGCCUGAUGCAGCAACGCCGCGUGAGUGAAGAAGGUCUUCGGAUCGUAAAGCUCUUUUAUUGGGAAAGAAAAAAAGCAUAUUAAUCUCUGGACGUUUUGACGGUACCUAAAGAGAAAGCCCCGGCUAACUUCGUG
rnacentral:rRNA from 1 species